rnacentral:rRNA from 1 species
AUUGAACGCUGGCGGCAUGCUUUACACAUGCAAGUCGAACGGUAACAGGCCGCAAGGUGCUGACGAGUGGCGAACGGGUGAGUAAUGCAUCUGAACGUGCCCCGUCGUGUGGGAUAACUACUCGAAAGAGUAGCUAAUACCACAUACGAUCUAUGGAUGAAAGCGGGGGACCGUAUGGCCUCGCGCGCUUGGAGCGGCCGAUGUCAGAUUAGGUAGUUGGUGGGGUAAAGGCUCACCAAGCCAACGAUCUGUAGCUGGUCUGAGAGGACGACCAGCCACACUGGGACUGAGACACGGCCCAGACUCCUACGGGAGGCAGCAGUGGGGAAUUUUGGACAAUGGGCGCAAGCCUGAUCCAGCAAUGCCGCGUGCAGGAAGAAGGCCUUCGGGUUGUAAACUGCUUUUGUACGGAACGAAACGGCUCUGGUUAAUACCCGGGGCUAAUGACGGUACCGUAAGAAUAAGCACCGGCUAACUACGUG